UAAAGCCUAUCCUAAAGGCACCAGAUCCCAUCUGACCUUGGAAGCUAAGCAAGGUCAGCCCUGGUUAAUACUUUGAUGGGAGAUCAGCAAUGAAUUCUAGAUUGUGCUGUAG
rnacentral:rRNA from 1 species